rnacentral:rRNA from 1 species
CGGACGGGUGAGUAAUGUCUGGGAAACUGCCUGAUGGAGGGGGAUAACUACUGGAAACGGUAGCUAAUACCGCAUAACGUCGCAAGACCAAAGUGGGGGACCUUCGGGCCUCAUGCCAUCAGAUGUGCCCAGAUGGGAUUAGCUAGUAGGUGGGGUAACGGCUCACCUAGGCGACGAUCCCUAGCUGGUCUGAGAGGAUGACCAGCCACACUGGAACUGAGACACGGUCCAGACUCCUACGGGAGGCAGCAGUGGGGAAUAUUGCACAAUGGGCGCAAGCCUGAUGCAGCCAUGCCGCGUGUGUGAAGAAGGCCUUCGGGUUGUAAAGCACUUUCAGCGGGGAGGAAGGCGGUGAGGUUAAUAACCUCAUCGAUUGACGUUACCCGCAGAAGAAGCACCGGCUAACUCCGUGCCAGCAGCCGCGGUAAUACGGAGGGUGCAAGCGUU